rnacentral:rRNA from 1 species
GACGUAGGGCGCGAGCGUUGUCCGGAUUUAUUGGGCGUAAAGAGCUCGUAGGCGGCUUGUUGCGUCGUCCGUGAAACCUGUGGCUCAACUACAGGCUUGCGGUCGAUACGGGCGGGCUGGAGUUCGGUAGGGGAGACUGGAAUUCCUGGUGUAGCGGUGAAAUGCGCAGAUAUCAGGAGGAACACCGGUGGCGAAGGCGGGUCUCUGGGCCGAUACUGACGUGAGGAGCGAAAGCGUGGGGAGCGAACAGG